UACGUAGGCGACAAGCGUUGUCCGGAUUUACUGGGCGUAAAGAGCGCGCAGGCGGUCGUUCAAGUCGAGUGUGAAAGCCCCCGGCUCAACUGGGGAGGGUCAUUCGAUACUGAUCGACUCGAAGGCAGGAGAGGGUAGUGGAAUUCCCGGUGUAGUGGUGAAAUGCGUAGAUAUCGGGAGGAACACCAGUGGCGAAGGCGACUACCUGGCCUGUUCUUGACGCUGAGGCGCGAAAGCUAGGGGAGCAAACGGG
rnacentral:rRNA from 1 species